CCUACGGGUGGCAGCAGUGAGGAAUAUUGGUCAAUGGGCGCAAGCCUGAACCAGCCAUGCCGCGUGCAGGAAGACGGCUCUAUGAGUUGUAAACUUCUUUUGUACGGGAGUAAACUCCAGUAUGCAUAUCUCUCUGAAUGUAUCUUACGAAUAAGGAUCGGCUAACUCCGUGCCAGCAGCCGCGGUAAUACGGAGGAUUCAAGCGUUAUCCGGAUUUAUUGGGUUUAAAGGGUGCGUAGGCGGGUGGUUAAGUUAGUGGUGAAAUUCCGGGGCUCAACCGCGGAAUUGCCUUUGAUACUGUGAUGCUAGAGAGCAGUAGAGGUAGGCGGAAUGCAUGGUGUAGCGGUGAAAUGCUUAGAGAGCAUAAAGAACACCGAUUGCGAAGGCAGCCUAC
rnacentral:rRNA from 1 species